ensembl:lncRNA
AUGAUUUCAAACAUGUUAAAAGUAAUUAAUUUUACUCGACAAAAUAUUAUCUGGGUGUUUUUCAAAAACCGCGCGCAUUUUUCAGUCAGUCGCGUCCACACUCCGCUCAUCCCCCGCGAGACCGCGCUCACUCGCUCACUCACACUGAUCACAGCAGGACUACUGGCGACGCGGUCACGGAAAAUAACAACCGGACACAGACAAACGAGUCCCGCAAAGUGUAUUUUUAAGCUUAUGUUAGAGAGACGGCUGACAGAGCAUCUUCGUCAUCUCUAACCGUCACUCCCGCCACAGAUCUGAAGCGAGUGCAAAGGCAGAGAGGGGCGGUGUGAUGGUAUUGGCAGCAAGAAGGCUGCAAUACUAAUAUGGGCCUGAAAUGAAGUAAGUAGAAUUCACAUUAAACAAAUUGAUGGGCUUUAGUGUUGUACCAGAUGUUAUUUGUCACGUUAUAAACAGUUAUGUAAAUACAUCGUUCUUCAGUUUUUAUUUUUUGAUGAUUUGCCAUAAAUGCAGAUGUAAUGAUGACCAGAAAUGACAAGCAGCACAAAUGGUAAGUCUUCUGAAGCAAUA